UGGGGAAUAUUGGACAAUGGGCGAAAGCCUGAUCCAGCCAUGCCGCGUGUGUGAAGAAGGUCUUCGGAUUGUAAAGCACUUUAAGUUGGGAGGAAGGGCAGUAAGCGAAUACCUUGCUGUUUUUACGUUACCGACAGAAUAAGCACCGGCUAACUCUGUGCCAGCAGCCGCGGUAAUACAGAGGGUGCAAGCGUUAAUCGGAAUUACUGGGCGUAAAGCGCGCGUAGGUGGUUCGUUAAGUUGAAUGUGAAAGCCCCGGGCUCAACCUGGGAACUGCAUCCAAAAAUGGCGAGCUAGAGUAGGGCAGAGGGUGGUGGAAUUUCCUGUGUAGCGGUGAAAUGCGUAGAUAUAGGAAGGAACACCAGUGGCGAAGGCGACCACCUGGGCUCAUACUGACACUGAGGUGCGAAAGCGUGGGGAGCAAACAGG
rnacentral:rRNA from 1 species